GCCAGUGCAGGAGAGCGGCUCAGACUGGAAUCUACGUCUGAGCAUGGACGGAAUCCCAGAAUCAAAUCACUGGAUCAAUACUUGGUCACCAAACACAUUCGAGACCUCAAAAGCUCAAAGGCUGUAGGGUAGGUACCCUUGCUACCUACUCUACCUACAGACAAAGACGCUGAGAAAUCAGAUAACUUGUCCAAGGUCAUGGACAGCUGGGACUAGACCCAUGGCUUGUCACACUCUACCAGCCUUAUUCUUAACCUCUCUGCCUGAUGCCUCUUGACCCACAUUCGACUUUGAAAAAGUUUUCGCACUUGGUUCAUCGGAAAAAGCCACACACAGCUGCCCGGAGGACUCUGUUAAUCAGUAGCUGGUUGCUUCUGGCCCAGUGGGCAACAUCAGAGGCAGAAAGUACAGUACAGAGAGAACCGCAGGCCAGCAGUUGCAUCUGAACCCACGCUCUUCCUCCCAGCCCUUUCCCUUGUCUUGACUCACAACCUAGUGUCCUCAGUAUCGCCCAGCACGUGAGGCAGCCGGUUCACUCCAGCCUUGACCAGGGCCAUCGCGGGAUCAGAGCCUCCUCUGUGAGAAUUAGAAAACAGUAUCUCUUCCUCAAGACCCUUGACUGCUAGGAAAUUGACACCAAAAACAUACAAAUCUACAAUGUCCAGUAUGUAGGUGAUGUGAAUGGCUGUCUCUUCAGUGUGCAGUGUGUACACCCUGCGCACCUAUACAAGGCAGCCCUGUCCAGGCCUCCAGACGUCCCAGUGCCACUGCCUGCUGUCAUGGGGUUCUAAUCUAAAGGGUGAGAUGCCAGUCCCGGGAGAAGGCUAAUGAUGAAAGGUUCCAGGAUAAAGGUUAAUAUACAAAAGUCAAUUACUUUCCUAAUGCCAGCAAUAAAGUGGAAUUUGAAAGUAAAAACAUAUUACCAUUUACAUUAGCAUCCCUCAGAAUUAAGGCCAGGCACAGUGGUUCACACCUGUAAUCCCAGAGUUUGGGAAACUGAGGCAGGUGGAUCACUUGAGGUCAGGAGUUUGAGACCAGCCUGGCCAACAUGGUGAAACACCAUCUCUACUAAAAAUACAAAAAUUAGCUGGGUGUGGUAUGUGUGUCUGUAGUCCCAGCUACUUGGGAGGCUGAGGCACAAGAAUCACUUGAACCCAGGAGGCAGAAGUUGUGGUGAGCCUAGUUCACGCCAUGGCACUGCAGCCUGGGUGACAGGGAGAGAAUCUGUCUCAAAAAAAGAAAUGCCUAGGUAUAAAUCUCACAAAAUAUGUACAAGAUCAGAGGAAAAUGAUAAAGCUCUGAUGAAAGGAAUCAAAGAACAACUAAAUAAAUAGAGAAAUAAUCCAUGUUCAUGGAUAGGAGACUCAAUAUUGUGAACUGAGCC
rnacentral:lncRNA from 1 species